rnacentral:rRNA from 1 species
AUACGGAGGGUGCAAGCGUUAAUCGGAAUUACUGGGCGUAAAGCGUACGUAGGCGGUCCGUUAAGUUAGAUGUGAAAGCCCCGGGCUUAACCUGGGAACUGCAUUUAAAACUGGCGGACUAGAGUUGAGUAGAGGGGAGUGGAAUUUCAGGUGUAGCGGUGAAAUGCGUAGAGAUCCGAAGGAACACCAGUGGCGAAGGCGACUCCCUGGACUCGAACUGACGCUGAGGUGCGAAAGCGUGGGUAGCAAACGGAAUUAGAUACCCCAGUAGUCC